GAUGAACGCUGGCGGCGUGCCUAAUACAUGCAAGUCGAACGCCUUGUGGUUCAACUGAUUUGAAGAGCUUGCUCAGAUAAGACGUUGAACAUUGCAAGGAGUGGCGAACGGGUGAGUAACACGUGGGAAACCUACCUCUUAGCGGGGGAUAACAUCUGGAAACAGAUGCUAAUACCGCAUAACACUUAUGACCGCAUGGUCAAGAGUUGAAAGAUGGUUCUGCUAUCACUAAGAGAUGGUCCCGCGGUGCAUUAGUUAGUUGGUAAGGUAAUGGCUUACCAAGACGAUGAUGCAUAGCCGAGUUGAGAGACUGAUCGGCCACAAUGGGACUGAGACACGGCCCAUACUCCUACGGGAGGCAGCAGUAGGGAAUCUUCCACAAUGGACGAAAGUCUGAUGGAGCAACGCCGCGUGUGUGAUGAAGGGUUUCGGCUCGUAAAACACUGUUGUAAGAGAAGAACGACACCGAGAGUAACUGUUCGGUGAG
rnacentral:rRNA from 1 species